UUGUAAAUUUUUACAAAGAGAAUUUGAGAUCAGACAGCGGCCAGACAACCGUAGUGAUGAUUUCCACAGAUUAAGAGCUUAAUUUGAUCUCUUUGUCUACUAAAAGCAUCUCACAUUG